UUAACCCAACGACAGGCUAGAAGACGACGCAUCUCUCAGGAUAUCCGAGAUGCUGGGCCUUACAGAAGAAGAGGAGUGAGGACACUGUUGUCUGAGCGGAGAGAUAGGCUGGCAAGACUGCGAUAUCUUUUACUCAACAACGGAUAUUCUCGGGAUGGAAGACAACUAGCAGACACUGGACUUAGAGGAACUCAGAGUGAAUCAAGAAGUGAACCAUU